rnacentral:rRNA from 1 species
AACGAACGCUGGCGGCAGGCUUAACACAUGCAAGUCGAACGCAUCCUUCGGGGUGAGUGGCAGACGGGUGAGUAACGCGUGGGAACGUGCCCUUCAGUUCGGGAUAACCCAGGGAAACUUGUGCUAAUACCGGAUACGUGCGAGAGCAGAAAGAUUUAUCGCUGAAGGAUCGGCCCGCGUCUGAUUAGCUAGUUGGUGGGGUAAUGGCCCACCAAGGCGUCGAUCAGUAGCUGGUCUGAGAGGAUGAUCAGCCACAUUGGGACUGAGACACGGCCCAAACUGCUACGGGAGGCAGCAGUGGGGAAUAUUGGACAAUGGGCGCAAGCCUGAUCCAGCCAUGCCGCGUGAGUGAUGAAGGCCUUAGGGUUGUAAAGCUCUUUCGUCCGGGACGAUAAUGACGGUACCGGAAGAAGAAGCCCCGGCUAACUUCGUGCCAGCCGCCGCAGUAA